rnacentral:rRNA from 1 species
CGGACUUGCAGAGAUGGCUUGGUGCUCGAAGAGAACCGUAACACAGGUGCUGCAUGGCUGUCGCCAGCUCGUGUCGUGAGAUGUUGGGUUAAGUCCCGCAACGAGCGCAACCCUUGCCAAUAAUUGCCAUCAUUUAGUUGGGCACUUUAUUGGGACUGCCGAUGACAAAUCGGAGGAAGGUGGGGAUGACGUCAAGUCCUCAUGGCCCUUAUGGCCAGGGCUUCACACGUAAUACAAUGGUCGGUACAGAGGGUUGCCAAGCCGCGAGGUGGAGCCAAUCCCAGAAAGCCGAUCGUAGUCCGGAUUGCAGGCUGCAACUCGCCUGCAUGAAGUCGGAAUCGCUAGUAAUCGCGGAUCAGCAUGUCGCGGUGAAUACGUUCCCGGGCCUUGUACACACCGCCCGUCACACCAUGGGAGUGGGUUUUACCAGAAGUAGGUAGUCUAACCGCAAGGAGGACGCUUACCACGGUAGUAUUCAUGACUGGGGUGAAGUCGUCGUAACAAGGUAACCGUA